rnacentral:lncRNA from 1 species
AUGGCUGUCUGGGGAGGGCUUACAAAUAGCUGUGAAAAGAAGAGAGGUGAAAAGCCAGGAGAAAAGGAAAGAUAUAAGCAUCUGAAUGCAGAGUUCCAAAGAAUAGCAAGGAGAGAUAAGAAAGCCUUUUUCAGCGAUCAAUGCAAAGAAAUAGAGGAAAACAACAGAAUGGGAAAGACUAGAGAUCUCUUCAAGAAAAUGAGAGAUACCAAGGGACCAUUUCAUGCUAAGAUGGGCUUGAUAAAGGACAGAAAUGGUUUGGACCUAACAGAAGCAGAAGAUAUUAAGAAAAAGUGGCAAGAAUACACGGAAGAACUGUACAAAAAAGAUCUUCAUGACCCAGAUAAUCACGAUGGUGUGAUCACUCAUCCAGAGCCAGACAUCCUGGAAUGUGAAGUCAAGUGGGCCUUACAAAGCAUCACUAUGAACAAAGCUAACGGAGGUGAUGGAAUUCCAGUUGAGCUGUUUCAAAUUCUGAAAGAUGAUUCUGUGAAAGUGCUGCACUCAAUAUGCCAGCACAUUUGGAAAACUCAGCAGUGGCCACAGGACUGGAAAAGGUCAGUUUUCAUUCCAAUCCCAAAGAAAGGCAAUGCCAAAGAAUGCUCAAACUACCACACAAUUGCACUCAUCUCACAUGCUAGUAAAGUAAUACUCAAAAUUUUCCAAGCCAGGCUUCAGCAAUACGUGAACCGUGAACUUCCGGAUGUUCAAGCUGGUUUUAGAAAAGGCAGAGGAACCAGAGAUCAAAUUGCCAACAUCCACUGGAUUAUCGAAAAAGCAAGAGAGUUCCAGAAAAACAUCUAUUUCUGCUUGAUUGACUAUGCCAAAGCCUUUGACUGUGUGGAUCACAAUAAACUCUGGAAAAUUCUGAAAGAGAUAGGAAUACUGGACCACCUGACCUGCCUCUUGAGAAAUCUGUAUGCAGGUCAGGGAGCAACAGUUAGAACUGGACAUGGAACAACAAACUGGUUCCAAAUAGGAAAAGGAGUACGUCAAGGCUGUAUAUUGUCACCCUGCUUAUUUACCUUAUAUGCAGAGUACAUCAUGAGAAACGCUGGGCUGGAAGAAGCACAAGCUGAAAUCAAGGUUACUGGGAGAAAUAUCAAUAACCUCAGAUAUGCAGAUGACACCACCCUUAUGGCAGAAAGUGAAGAGGAACGAAAAAGCCUCUUGAUGGAAGUGAAAGAGGAGAGUGAAAAAGUUGGCUUAAAGCUCAACAUCCAGAAAAUGAAGAUAAUGGCAUCUGGUCCCAUCACUUCAUGGGAAAUAGAUGGGGAAACAGUGGAAACAGUGUCAGACUUUCUUUUUUGGGGCUCCAAAGUCACUGCAGAUGCGGAUUGCAGCCAUGAAAUUAAAAGACGCUUACUCCUUGGGGAAAAAGUCAUGACCAACCUAGACAGCAUAUUGAAGAUCAGAGACAUUACUUUGCCAACAAAGGUCCAUCUAGUCAAGGCUAUGAUUUUUCCAGUAGUCAUGUAUGGACUGUGA